GCAGCGCAGCAGUGUGCUGCGCG
rnacentral:rRNA from 1 species